AAUUUUUUUAAGUAGAAUUCUUUCUUGGAGGCAAUUAAGAACAAAGGAUAGUCAGUAAAGGCCAGGCUGACAGUUGGCCUGGCAGAAGCACAAGCUUGCUGUGUGAGGGAUGGCAAUGUGGGGACAGACUGUGGACUUGGAGAAGGUCAGCCUGGAAGAACUUCAGAGAUCAUCUAACCUCUUUCUUCUGGUGGGGAGGCUCAACAGAGCAUACGUGUCUGCAUCUGUGACUUGAUGUGGAAUCUUCAGAUGAGUAAUUUAAUUUCUGGGUGCCUGAUCCACAGAAUCUACGAAUAACCCCCAAAUUCCCAUUAGUGUAGUAGAUGCUAUCCAAAGGAAUUAUAGGACUUGGCAUCCUUUGCCUCUAACAGAGAUAAGAGCGAGUGCUUUAUUUCUGACUUUACAGAGGACAUUUGUAUUGACAGGUUAAAUGCAGACUUCACUGAACUCUUAAGAAAAAUAGAUUCUCAAUCUAGUCCCCUACAUGUGAACCCGUUUCUCUACUACUGAUUAAAAUUAGAAUGCUCAAGCUAUAUAUACCACCUUCCUUUCUCACUUUAGCAUCACAAAGGAUGUGCUGGACUCUGAUUUAUCAUUCCAACCUUGCUCUUAAAAGCUACCCAAACAUCCUGUGGCCAAUGUGCCUGACCUUUCCUCAACUUUCAUUGUCCUUUCUUUCAUCUAUGGCAUUAAGUCCUAUACUGGCCUCCACAUUUUAUAAGAACAAUUAUUUUCUCUGCCAUUGUAAAUACUACCCAGUUUUAUUUUUAUCUCGAUACUCUUUGCAUGUAUACAUUAUCAUUCAACAUCCAUUUAUUAUCACGUUCUCUUUACUAGGUACUUUGCAAAGCAUAUAGAGAACCUUCAUGAAUAUGAAAUGACUCGCAAAACAGCCUAAAUAGCAUACCAAGAUUAGAACCCUUGAAAAGCACACGGUUAUGUGACAUAAUAUGAAUUCCAACCCAGCAGUAAACAUAGCUGGCCAGUGGUUUCAACUCUGCAUUCUCUGCUUCAGUAAGACCUAUGAUGGACCCUGAUUAUUUAGACUUUCAGAACUUAACUCCUCAUUGAAAGUUCAAGGCACUGUGUCCAUUGUUCUUGUUCUUUGUUUCUCCUUGCUAGUCGUUUCUUACUUAGUCUCUCCAUACAAAUGGUCAUUCUCCUUGACACAGUGAUUUUGUUGAAAUUUUAUCCUCUAUUACUAAUAUCGCCCUUCAUCAGACAUAGAUGUCCAAGCUGUUGAAUCUUCUUUGCUCUGAGCACUUGGAAUCUUAUCUGAAUUAGUGAGUUGUUUCCCUAUGAAUGAGGUCAAUUUCCGAACAUGUCGUUAAGGUUUCAAACAUUAGUUUUCUAUUAUGUACUAAAGACAGUGUAUUUGGCAGCUCAGUUCUGAAGUCUGUGUUCGUCAUUUUCUAGUGAAGUGAUAGGUCCAUGAUUCUAUUUAAGAGGAUAUGAUUAGUAUAGGAACAAUGGACUUCAGGGAAGGAGAGUGUGAAUGAGACUAGACAUUCUGGUACAUUUGUGAAGCUAUUUCAUUCCUUAAAGAGGAUUUAGGAAGGCAUAGAUGGCUUCUGGCAUACUGGAGGCCUAGUGGGGAGAGUGUUGGCGGGAAAGAUUGAAUUAUGAAUAUGAGCAGAUGGAAAGGUACAUUCACCAAAAUUCUGGAGGCUAGGUGUCUGGAAGUCUAUUUAGGGAGAUUGAAAGUCAUUCAGUUUAACAUAUCAGUAAUAAUCCCUAUAUCACAAUAUGGGAAGAACUCUGGACAAUUAGGGUGAUAGACUCAAGGCCCACUCUCCUUUGAAACGUAGGGUCAUUCUGUUUUGGAUCAAUUAUCCAGUUGUAUUACUUAAUUGUUUGUUAAAUAACAAUAUCACCUCAUUCUGAUUUCUGAGGAUUGUAGGGGUCACCUUUUGUUUUUCCUAAAAAAAUGAUUUAUUCAUGGACACUAUACAUGGUAUUUUUAGAUGAGUUCAGCUUUAUAUAAAUGCUGACAGUUCUAAAAACAGCAGUACUAAUGGUCAAGCUUAACACUUGGUUCAGCAACCCCAGAGGGCUUCCAAAAACAAGCAGGGGAGCUGAGAGUGGAAAAUGGCUCCUUAAACUACCUGGUCUGUCUUUUCCAGUUAAACCCAUAACUCUAUUCAGCGACAGCCAGUUUUCAUAGAUACCAUCUUGAAUUUUACCUUCUUUUCACUAAGGUAGACCUAUAUCCUACUUUACAGGAGGGGAGGCAUUGUGUAUUAUCUUUCUGAGUUCCCACCCCUCUUUCUUUUUAUUCUUUGAUUAGUAUUUAGCAUGCUAGUUGUAAUUGAUGUGGUUUUGGAAUCUGUAUUUCCCACUAGCCAAUGAAUUCUACUGGAAGCAUCUUGAAAGUUUUUACCAUAUGUCUGACACUGUACUAAAAGUUUGAACAUUGAUAAUUUGUUCACCUUCAUAAUAUUUCUAUGUUGUUUGCAGAACUCUUUUAUAAAUUGUGACCUCACAGAAUCACUUAAUUAUCCAUAUCAAUAAUUAUAUGCAGAAGCCAGAACCUGAGUUCUCAAAUAUAUUAGAUAAGAACAUAGGGAGCCUCAUCUCUAGUCCUAGGUCAGUUACACAUUAUUUUCUUGAUAGCAAGUGAAUAUAAUCAGGCUCAGUGCUUCAUUUCUUCCCAUGCUCAUUAUUGUGAGAAUUAAGUUUUAUGGCAUGUGUGUUGGCAGUUAUAGGAGUUUUUGUAGAGGCUAUGUUUUUAGUAAAUGCUUGUUUUUCUCCCAUUCUGAUGGUUCUCUGUCUUAGGAGUUCUAUGAACCGACCUUGACUUUUGCAAGCCAUGUUACGUCCUGCUCAAUCUGUGCCUUGGUCCCAUGGGCCAAAAGGUGCUUGCCCUCACUUAAGGAGGAAACACAUGGGCAGCACCAGAUGAUUCCUGAGCAGACAGAAUGGCAGAGGGUUAUUGUAGCUGUCACUUCAGUGACCCAUGGUCUCAGAGGGCCAUCACAUCUGUGCAAGGCUCCCUUUGGCUGUGCAGGGUGCACCGCCACAAGCUCUCUCUGUAUUGCUAACGUGAGUUACACAUGUAAUUAUCCAGGCAGCUGGUUGAAAUAUCUCCACAGACAGUAGAGUUUCAUCAGCAGAAGGGCACACAGUGUUUCAUGUGACUCCUGCAUGGCACUGCUGAGUGUUGUAAAGUGAUGGUGAUUAACUAAAGGACUAGUUACAAAGUCAUGGAAAUACGCUAGCAGGCCACCAUAGGUGAAGGUGGAGAAAGGAAGGCAUCUGAGACGGUCAGAAAACUACAAAAGCAACUGCAAGGGAUUACAAAGGGAUUUGUACCUAUGAGAUCCUCACCAGAGUAAGCUUUUCUUCAAAAGAGUUGAAGGCCCAUUUACUGAGCCAUUAGCUUUGACUGAGACCUUUGCUGAUAAAUAAGAUGGAAGGUAGUAUUUUAGAUUUAAAGUUCGCUAAGUGGAGUACAUACUUCCUGUAAAUAGAUAUAUGCCUACAGAUUAAUACAUGUACAAAGUGAACCUACUUCUAAGGAUACACUGUACAUGCUUUUUAAGAAGAUAAUUGUAGUAAAAAAAACCAGUGCAAUAUUUUAUGAACUUCCAUGUUGUCAGGAGCCAUGUGAGAGCUGGGAUAAAACCCAGGUACUCUGAAAGAUCAGUAACUCUCUUAAUGGCUGAGUCACUUCUCUGGAUCCCCCAAGGCAAGUGGUAGUUGGGAGAUUCACAGAUACAUAAUUCAAUCCUGGUAAGGGUGGUAGACUAUAGGAUAGCUAGAGCUCAUUGUGCACAAGUGUUCAUAUUGAAGACAGCAGGGAGGGAGGGAGAGAGAGAGACUGAGAGACAGAGAGAGUUAAAAAGAGAAAUAGUGACAGAAAGAGACAGAGAGAUACAG
rnacentral:lncRNA from 1 species